CCUACGGGGGGCUGCAGUGGGGAAUAUUGCACAAUGGGGGAAACCCUGAAGCAGCGAAGUCGCGUGAGUGAAGACGUAUCUAGGUAUGUAAAGCUCUAUCAGCAGGGGAGAAAAUGACGGUACCUGACUAAGAAGCCACGGCUAACUACGUGCCAGCAGCCGCGGUCAUCGGGCGGGGGCACGCGUUAUCCCGAAUUACUUGGGUUAAAGGGAGCGUAGAUGGGAGCGUAAGUCUGAUGUUAAAUUCCAUGGCCUAACCAUGGAACUGCCGUGGAAACUGUGGAGCUUGAGUGGAGGAGAGGUAUGCGGAAUGCGUAGUGUAGCGGUGAAAUGCAUAGAUAUUACGCAGAACCCCGGUUGCGAAGGCAGCUUACCGGCUUGUGACUGACGUUGAGGCUCGAAAGCGUGGGGAUCAAACAGGAUUAGAUACCCGUGUAGUC
rnacentral:rRNA from 1 species